rnacentral:rRNA from 1 species
UACGAAGGGUGCAAGCGUUAUUCGGAAUCAUUGGGCGUAAAGGGCGCGUAGGCGGUCUGUUAAGUUUGCUGUUAAAUCUUCCGGGCCUAACUGGAAAAUGCAGCAAAAACUGGCGGACUAGAGUGUAGGAGAGAGAAGUGGAAUUCUCGGAGUAGCGGUAAAAUGCGUAGAUCUCGAGAGGAACACCGAUGGCGAAGGCAGCUUCUUGGCCUACUACUGACGCUGAGGCGCGAAAGCGU